ACUCCUACGGGAGGCAGCAGUGGGGAAUAUUGCACAAUGGGGGAAACCCUGAUGCAGCCAUGGCCGCGUGUGUGAAGAAGGCCCUUGGGUUGUAAAGCACUUUCAGUAGGGAGGAAGGUAGUGUAGUUAACACCUGCCAUUAUUUGACGUUACCUACAGAAGAAGCACCGGCUAACUCCGUGCCAGCAGCCGCGGUAAUACGGAGGGUGCGAGCGUUAAUCGGAAUUACUGGGCGUAAAGCGCAUGCAGGCGGCCUGUUAAGUCAGAUGUGAAAGCCCGGGGCUUAACCUCGGAAUUGCAUUUGAAACUGGCAGGCUAGAGUCUUAGUAGAGGGGGGUA
rnacentral:rRNA from 1 species